rnacentral:lncRNA from 1 species
GCAUUGAAAGUUUAGGAAAUUUUUCUAAUUAUAGACUACCUGGUAGAUGAUUUUUUUUCUCUCAAAAGAUGAUCUUUAGUAAAUUAUAAAUUUUGGACAGAUAAAAAAAAAUAAUAAAAAAAUUAUGCAAGGCAAAUUAAAAAUGCAAUUAAUACUUUAACAAAACCAGUUCUUCAAUGGUCAAAAUUGAACCAUUUUCAUUCUGCUCUCUAGUUUUCCCUGGUAUUGUCAAGCUACGAAAAAAUGCAUACAGACAUAAUAACGAAAUUUACCAACCCAUUUGUAAAUAAAAGUUCAAAUCUAUAAAAUCAAAUAAAACAUAAUUUAUUAUUUCCUGAGAACAAGCUCAUGGACAUCUAUAUACUAAAGUUGUAUACCAUAUUCAAAAUGUCUUCACAUGUCAUGUGACUACCUACAUGUUACAAUACUUUUUACAUUUACAUUUUGGUUGUUGAAAUGUUAGCAUUCCAAUUGUGAACUUUCCAUUUGUAUGUAGCAACAAUCCAGCAGUGCCUGCAUAUUGAGUUUAUAUCUCCCAAAUAAUACUAUCAUCCAGGUCGUUGGUUUUCUAUAAUAGUUUUAUUUCCAUGUUAGAGAGUUUCUCCUUACAAAGAAGGUAUUAAAUCAAGGGCUGUCAGUGGAAAAGUUGAAGUUAUCUAGACAAAAAGUUUAACAGAGACCGUCACUUGUUUGUUGACAGUUAUGGAACACCUGUUUCACAAAUAACUAACGAUAUGUUCAAUUAUUGAAGCCCUGACAGGGUCCUCCACUUACAUGUGCAAUAUUACAGAUGCAACAUAUGAAACAGGAAUCAGCUUUAAUACCCUUCUGAAGCACCUCUUUUAAACUGACUUAUCUAAAUAUAUAAUACAGGAAUUUUGAAUAUUGUGUUGGUAUAUAUGCAGGUAACUGGUAAAUAAUACAGUAAAUGUAGAAAUUGUUUGUGUCAGUUUCAAUACAAUUUCUUGAAAAGGUUGGAAAAUAUCCCUGCCUGUAUAAUAUUGAUGUGAAAGAUGCCUUUAUCUUUCCAUGCAAAUCAAAAUGUUAAUGAGUUAUAAUUGCAAUUUAUAACAACUUACCGAGAAUUAGAC